UGGGAUAUUAUAUUUCUUGUGUAAUAUGAGAGUGCAAGAGAGGUAUUAAUUGAGUCUGAAAAUGAAAGGAAAACAAAUAGAAGACGGGGAAAACAAAAAGGGGCAUGUAUUUUUUGGGAUGUCUCUAUCUCCUCCUACGGGGAAAACAAAAUUGUGCAAAGAAAUGUAGGAGAGUGAUUGUCGUAAGUCGUAGUUACCGUUGUCAUCAUGUGCCGACACUUGACAGGAGACCCGCCAAUCGUCUGUAUGCAAUGCGAUCUGCGGAGCAACACCGUGACAGUAAUUAAGGCAAGACUAGAGUAAUGCUUUGGAUGGCAAACCUAUUAAAUGAGAGCAUGACGUGGUAGGCAAACCAUGAGUCCCCCUCCCAUUUUAGCGCCUGUGAUUGUGCUAGCGUUCCACAAACUUUUCCAGUCAACAGUUUUUAUUCUUUUCUUUGAGAUGAGCGGGGAAAAAAAAAACAAUAUUAGCAAACUUUUAUUUGACCAUAUCUCUGCUCUCCCACAUCUCUAUGAACUCAUAUAAAGAAGGUAUUUCUUAUUUAGUUUGUCAUUAUUUAUGAUUAAGAACUGUGAACUUGGAAGUAGGCCUCUCUCUUUUUAUCUUUACAGACGCUUAAAUAAGAAAUUUGAAAUAAUUUUUAUUGGAAUUCCUUUCUGCAGGGGUCUUGGGGUCUAGCAUGGUAGCUGAAGUUGCAGAUGGUUCUUCUUAUUUUUUAUUGGAUGUCCUAUGUAAUGCAAAUUCAUGUGGAUCAAACACUAUCCUUAUUUUUUCAUUUCUCUUUUUCAAUCUCCUAGAAGAAUCAAUGUUGCACCUGUGAAAAGGAUCCUGUUCUUGUUUCUGGAUCCAUCGGUGAGAUUAAGAAUAUUGAAUGUAUUUUUCAGCACCAAGGAUCCUA
rnacentral:lncRNA from 1 species